GGAUGCGAUCAUACCAGCUCUAACGCACCGGAUCCCAUCAGAACUCCGAAGUUAUGCGUGCCUGGGCGAGAGUAGUACUAGGAUGGGUGACCCCCUGGGAAGUCCUCGUGUUGCAUCUC
rnacentral:rRNA from 1 species